ACCCGGGSGGUGACAAUCAGCUGACGAAACUGGAGCUUCCAGGGAUGUGGCGAACGGGUGAGACACGUGAGACCUGCCCUUGACUCUGGGAUAAGCGCUAGAAAUGGCGUCUAAUACCGGAUACGAGCUUCAGCCGCAUGGCUAGGAGUUGGAAAGAAUUUUGGUCAAGGAUGGACUCGCGGCCUAUCAGCUAGUUGGUGAGGUAAUGGCUCACCAAGGCGACGACGGGUAGCCGGCCUGAGAGGGUGACCGGCCACACUGGGACUGAGACACGGCCCAGACUCCUACGGGAGGCAGCAGUGGGGAAUAUUGCACAAUGGGCGAAAGCCUGAUGCAGCAACGCCGCGUGAGGGAUGACGGCCUUCGGGUUGUAAACCUCUUUUAGUAGGGAAGAAGCGAAAGUGACGUACCUGCAGAAAAAGCACCGGCUAACUACGUGCCAGCGCCGCGGUAAUACAA
rnacentral:rRNA from 1 species